UACGAAGGGUGCAAGCGUUAAUCGGAAUUACUGGGCGUAAAGCGUGCGUAGGCGGUUGUCUAAGUCAGAUGUGAAAGCCCCGGGCUCAACCUGGGAAUGGCAUUUGAUACUGGGCGGCUAGAAUGUGGUAGAGGAAGACGGAAUUCCCGGUGUAGCGGUGAAAUGCGUAGAUAUCGGGAAGAACACCAAUGGCGAAGGCAGUCUUCUGGGCCGACAUUGACGCUGAGGCACGAAAGCGUGGGGAGCAAACAGG
rnacentral:rRNA from 1 species